CCCUUAGAUGUCCUGGGCCGCACGCGCGCUACACUGAGUGUCUGAGAUACGAGUCUGCCUGGUCCAGCAAGGUCUAGGUAAUCGCUAAAAGACACAUCAUGCUUGGGAUAGAUUAUUGCAAAUAUUAAUCUUGAACGAGGAAUUCCUAGUAAGCGCAAGUCAACAGCUUGCGUUGAUUACGUCCCUGCCCUUUGUACACACCGCCCGUCGCUACUACUGAUUGGAUGUUUAAGCGAGGUUCUCGAACUGCUAGCGACUUAGCUUCGGUGAGGUCGCAGUGUGGGAAGUGAACCUAGCUUUGGUGUCUAGAGGAAGUAAAAGUCGUAACA
rnacentral:rRNA from 1 species